AGAGUUUGAUCAUGGCUCAGAUUGAACGCUGGCGGCAUGCCUUACACAUGCAAGUCGAACGGUAACGCGGGGCAACCUGGCGACGAGUGGCGAACGGGUGAGUAAUAUAUCGGAACGUGCCCAGUAGUGGGGGAUAGCCCGGCGAAAGCCGGAUUAAUACCGCAUGAGACCUGAGGGUGAAAGCGGGGGAUCGCAAGACCUCGCGCUAUUGGAGCGGCCGAUAUCAGAUUAGCUAGUUGGUGGGGUAAAGGCCUACCAAGGCAACGAUCUGUAGUUGGUCUGAGAGGACGACCAGCCACACUGGGACUGAGACACGGCCCAGACUCCUACGGGAGGCAGCAGUGGGGAAUUUUGGACAAUGGGCGCAAGCCUGAUCCAGCAAUGCCGCGUGCAGGAAGAAGGCCUUCGGGUUGUAAACUGCUUUUGUCAGGGAAGAAAUCCUCUGGGUUAAUACCUCGGGGGGAUGACGGUACCUGAAGAAUAAGCACCGGCUAACUACGUGCCAGCCGCCGCGGUAAUUC
rnacentral:rRNA from 1 species